rnacentral:rRNA from 1 species
CCUACGGGAGGCAGCAGUGGGGAAUUUUGGACAAUGGGCGAAAGCCUGAUCCAGCAAUGCCGCGUGAGUGAAGAAGGCCUUCGGGUUGUAAAGCUCUUUUGUCAGGGAAGAAACGGUGAGAGCUAAUAUCUUUUGCUAAUGACGGUACCUGAAGAAUAAGCACCGGCUAACUACGUGCCAGCAGCCGCGGUAAUACGUAGGGUGCAAGCGUUAAUCGGAAUUACUGGGCGUAAAGCGUGCGCAGGCGGUUUUGUAAGUCUGAUGUGAAAUCCCCGGGCUCAACCUGGGAAUUGCAUUGGAGACUGCAAGGCUAGAAUCUGGCAGAGGGGGGUAGAAUUCCACGUGUAGCAGUGAAAUGCGUAGAUAUGUGGAGGAACACCGAUGGCGAAGGCAGCCCCCUGGGUCAAGAUUGACGCUCAUGCACGAAAGCGUGGGGAGUAAACAGGAUUAGAUACCCUGGUAGUCCACGCCCUAAACGAUGUCUACUAGUUGUCGGGUCUUAAUUGACUUGGUAACGCAGCUAACGCGUGAAGUAGACCGCCUGGGGAUACGGUCGCAAGAUUAAAACUCAAAAGGAUUGACCGGNNGAGAGAGCGAGACGACGACGAGGGAGGAG